UACGUAGGGAGCAAGCGUUAUCCGGAAUUACUGGGCGUAAAGGGUGAGUAGGCGGCUAUACAAGUCAUAUGUGAAAGGCAAGGGCUUAACCUUUGGAGCGCAUAAGAAACUGUAUAGCUAGAGUGUAGGAGAGGCAAGCGGAAUUCCUAGUGUAGCGGUGAAAUGCGUAGAUAUUAGGAAGAACACCGGUGGCGAAGGCGGCUUGCUGGACUAUAACUGACGCUGAGGCACGAAAGCGUGGGGAGCGAACAGG
rnacentral:rRNA from 1 species